GUAAUAGCUCACUGGUCGAGUCGGCCUGCGCGGAAGAUGUAACGGGGCUAAACUAUGCACCGAAGCUGCGGCAGCGAUAUGUAAAUAUUGUUGGGUAGGGGAGCGUUCUGUAAGCCUGUGAAGGUGUGCUGUGAGGCAUGCUGGAGGUAUCAGAAGUGCGAAUGCUGACAUAAGUAACGAUAAUGCGGGUGAAAAACCCGCACGCCGGAAGACCAAGGGUUCCUGUCCAACGUUAAUCGGGGCAGGGUGAGUCGACCCCUAAGGCGAGGCAGAAAUGCGUAGUCGAUGGGAAACGGGUUAAUAUUCCCGUACUGGUGAUAAUUGCGAUGGGGGGACGGAGAAGGCUAGGCUAUCCGGGCGACGGUUGUCCCGGUUUAAGGAUGUAGGCAGGUGAAUUAGGCAAAUCCGGUUCACUACAUGCUGAGGUCCGAUGACGAGUCACUACGGUGAUGAAGUAGCUCAUGCCCCGCUUCCAGGAAAAGCCUCUAAGCUCUAGAUUAUCAUUAAUCGUACCCCAAACCGACACAGGUGGUCAGGUAGAGAAUACUCAGGCGCUUGA
rnacentral:rRNA from 1 species